rnacentral:rRNA from 1 species
UGCCUUACACAUGCAAGUCGAACGGCAGCACGGGUGCUUGCACCUGGUGGCGAGUGGCGAACGGGUGAGUAAUACAUCGGAACAUGUCCUGUAGUGGGGGAUAGCCCGGCGAAAGCCGGAUUAAUACCGCAUACGAUCUGAGGAUGAAAGCGGGGGACCUUCGGGCCUCGCGCUAUAGGGUUGGCCGAUGGCUGAUUAGCUAGUUGGUGGGGUAAAGGCCUACCAAGGCGACGAUCAGUAGCUGGUCUGAGAGGACGACCAGCCACACUGGGACUGAGACACGGCCCAGACUCCUACGGGAGGCAGCAGUGGGGAAUUUUGGACAAUGGGCGAAAGCCUGAUCCAGCAAUGCCGCGUGUGUGAAGAAGGCCUUCGGGUUGUAAAGCACUUUUGUCCGGAAAGAAAUCCUUGGUUCUAAUAUAGCCGGGGGAUGACGGUACCGGAAGAAUAAGCACCGGCUAACUACGUGCCAGCAGCCGCGGUAAUACGUAGGGUGCAAGCGUUAAUCGGAAUUACUGGGCGUAAAGCGUGCGCAGGCGGUUUGNUAA